GAUCCUGGCUCAGGAUGAACGCUAGCUACAGGCUUAACACAUGCAAGUCGAGGGGCAGCAUGAACUUAGCUUGCUAAGUUUGAUGGCGACCGGCGCACGGGUGAGUAACACGUAUCCAACCUGCCGAUGACUCGGGGAUAGCCUUUCGAAAGAAAGAUUAAUACCCGAUGGCAUAGUUCUUCCGCAUGGUAGAACUAUUAAAGAAUUUCGGUCAUCGAUGGGGAUGCGUUCCAUUAGGUUGUUGGCGGGUAACGGCCCACCAAGCCUUCGAUGGAUAGGGGUUCUGAGAGGAAGGUCCCCCACAUUGGAACUGAGACACGGUCCAAACUCCUACGGGAGGCAGCAGUGAGGAAUAUUGGUCAAUGGACGAGAGUCUGAACCAGCCAAGUAGCGUGCAGGAUGACGGCCCUAUGGGUUGUAAACUGCUUUUAUAAGGGAAUAAAGUGAGUCUCGUGAGACUUUUGCAUGUACCUUAUGAAUAAGGACCGGCUAAUUCCGUG
rnacentral:rRNA from 1 species